UUUUGACUUGGUCAAAAUCAAAACCCGUUAUCAGUGUUGAAGCCCUGGAGAAUUAGACGAUCGACUGAUCUUGACCUCGAGAGGGAGGAACGAGAGACUGCAGGCGAAGGGAACUCGAAUAAACGAUACACACCUCCGGUAUUGGUUCAAAAUAGGAGAAAAAAAUGAGGGCAAGGUUCGAUUGGGGUUCUUCAUCCACAUCAGAUCGAGAAUAUGAAGGGAACACGUACAGGAAUCUCACAAUAGAGCAUCCGUUUCGACUGAUUCAGAAGACAAUUGAUUGAAAACAGCAACAGAAACGAGGAAAGGGGGAAGGACUUCGGUCUCCUGUUGAUCUGAGAAGAAGGAAACACGAAAUCAGGGGGAAAGACAACCACCAAAGGUGAGAAGGGUUGCCUCUGUGGUGAUCGACGGGAACAGGUGAAAGCAAAAAUCACGAGGCUACUGCCUCCUUGCUCAUUGGGAGGAAACAACACCUCCGAUGAGUAGUUUCUGGCAGCAAUCGAUGGAGGAAUCAGGCAGCAGCAAAACCAAUUCUCAGGGGGGUUUUGGAUGGUUCGAUUGACAGCUUGAUUUUGAGGAAGGAAACACGUUUCCUUUGUGUUUGUAUGUAGUAUUGUCUAACAAAAUUGCUUACUUUGUACGUAGCUUUGGUUUUGGUUUGUGUGUAGCUUUGCAUGUGUAAUAAGCAAUGGCUAUCAAAUUUGUGUAUCUAUAAAUUUUUUAGGGAUUUUGGAGAGUAUAACUCUAUUUUUUUUUUGGAAAA